rnacentral:rRNA from 1 species
UACGGGAGGCAGCAGUGGGGAAUAUUGCACAAUGGGCGAAAGCCUGAUGCAGCUAUGCCGCGUGUAUGAAGAAGGCCUUAGGGUUGUAAAGUACUUUCAUCGGGGAGGAAAAAAACAAAACUAAUAAUUUUAUUUCUUGACGUUACCCGAAAAAGAAAGCACCGGCUAACUCCGUGCCAGCAGCCGCGGUAAUACGGAGGGUGCUAGCGUUAAUCAGAAUUACUGGGCGUAAAGAGCACGUAGGUGGUUUUUUUAAGUUCAGAUGUGAAAUCCCUGGGCUUAACCUAGGAACUGCAUUUUGAAACUGAAAUACUAGAGUAUCGUAGAGGGAGGUAGAAUUCUAGGUGUAGCGGUGAAAUGCGUAGAUAUCUGGAGGAAUACCUGUGGCGAAAGCGGCCUCCUAAACGAAUACUGACACUGAGGGUGCGAAAGCGUGGGGAGCAAACAGGGAUUAGAUACC